AUGGCUUCACGUUUGUGUUGUUAUCGGUGUUGCGUAUAGAGGCGUCGUUCGUUUUCGUGCGUUUGGUCUAAGUUUCGCUGGAAUGCGGCCACAUAGAUGGUUUUAUGCCAGUCUGAUUGAAUCGUACGUUGACGAGUGUCGUUUCUUGGAGUCGGGUUGUUUGGAAUCGCAGCCCAAAGUGGAUGGUAAACUUCAUCUAAGGCUAAAUACGACCACGAAACCAAUAGCGAACAAGUACCGUGAGGGAAAGUUGAAAAGUACUUUGAAAAGAGAGUGCAAGAGAACGUGAAAUCGAUAUAAUGGAAGCGAAUGAAGUCGACGUAUCUAACACGUAUUCAGUCGUUCGAAUUGAGGCAAUCGUCCGAGAUCGUUACAUUCCGCAAGGUUGUCGGUUUUGAUGUUGUUGUUUUGUUCGGCGACGCAUUUGCGUGUAGAGUGCGACGGGUCGGCUGGUGCCGUUGGUGGAAGCCGUCGGAGAGGGCGUGCGAUUUAACGAUCGAACGUAACCUACGACUAUUUGGCGGAGACCUGAUUGGUGCUAGUUGAUUUGUUUUCGUUUUGAAUGCUGGUGAAUUCGGUUUUGUUUUGGGUGUUCGUUGCGGCUAGGCGUUGAACGCAUGCGUACGGCGUUUAGUUGUGCGGACAUUCUGAAUGAAACAACAGUCAUUCAACCGGUCGUAUAGUCGGUCACUCAUUCGACCCGUCUUGAAACACGGACCAAGGAGUUUAUAGUACACGCAAGUCAUUGAGUGUUUGCAAAGCUCAAAGGCGUAAUGAAAGUGAAAUCGUUUCAACGAUUCGAACGUGAUCGGUUAGUUUCAUUUA
rnacentral:rRNA from 1 species